AUACGGAGGGUGCAAGCGUUAAUGGGAAUUACUGGGCGUAAAGCGUACGUAGGCGGCAAGUUAAGUUAGAUGUGAAAGCCCCGGGCUCAACCUGGGAACUGCAUUUAAAACUGGCUUGCUAGAGUUGAGUAGAGGGGAGUGGAAUUUCAGGUGUAGCGGUGAAAUGCGUAGAGAUCUGAAGGAACACCAGUGGCGAAGGCGACUCCCUGGACUCGAACUGACGCUGAGGUACGAAAGCGUGGGUAGCAAACGGGAUUAGAUACCCCAGUAGUCC
rnacentral:rRNA from 1 species